CUGCCCCCUCCCCUUUUUUCCCCGUGUGACAUCACUAACACGGCUUCCAGACCCUGACCUCCAAUCUCCUGAACCAAUUAACUUAAAGAGUGCUGGGCCUUUUCUUUUCUUGGCUGUGUAUCAAACAUGUCGGCUACCGGCCUGAGCAUGUCGGCUACCGGCCCGAACAGGAGAGGCUUCCAUUAACACUGACGUGACCUGGGAAUUUUGGGAGAGUAACCAGUAUUUUGUGACCCUCCUCAUUCCUCAAUCUGACGGGGGAGAGUGAAGCAGGACGAUCAGCGACUCUUGAGCCUUUUAUCUGUAAUCUCACAUUCCUGUUUUCUGACUGACUGACUUUGUAGGACUAGUCAGGAGGUCCGUUGGGUAGGACUAGUCAGGAGAUAGGGCCGUUGGGUAGGACUAGUCAGGAGAUAGGUCCGUUGGGUAGGACUAGUCAGGAGAUAGGGCCGUUGGGUAGGACUAGUCAGGAGAUUGGUCUGUUGGGUAGGACUAGUCAGGAGAUAGGGCCGUUGGGUAGGACUAGUCAGGAGAUAGGGCCGUUGGGUAGGACUAGUCAGGAGAUAGGGCCGUUGGGUAGGACUAGUCAGGAGAUAGGGCCGUUGGGUAGAACUAGUCAGGAGAUAGGGCAGUUGGGUAGGACUAGUCAGGAGAUAGGGCCGUUGGGUAGGACUAGUCAGGAGAUAGGGCAGUUGGGUAGGACUAGUCAGGAGAUAGGUCCGUUGGGUAGGACUAGUCAGGAGAUAGGGCCGUUGGGUAGGACUAGUCAGGAGAUAGGUCCGUUGGGUAGGACUAGUCAGGAGAUAGGUCCGUUGGGUAGGACUAGUCAGGAGAUAGGUCCGUUGGGUAGGACUAGUCAGGAGAUAGGGCCGUUGGGUAGGACUAGUCAGGAGAUAGGGCCGUUGGGUAGGACUAGUCAGGAGAUAGGGCCGUUGGGUAGGACUAGUCAGGAGAUAGGUCCGUUGGGUAGGACUAGUCAGGAGAUAGGGCCGUUGGGUAGGUCUGGGGUCACCACAAUGUUGUUUCAGGUUAAGGAAAGGUGCAUGAUGUAACAUCUUGAUGUUAGAUGGUUCCUAGCCCUGAAAGUAGUCUAUGGGCCAGGAGAAACUGUCUAACAUUUUAUUUACAUUUUUUAUUUCAUCUUUACUUAACUAGGCAAGUCAGUUAAGAACACAUUCUUUACAAUGACGGCCUACCAAAAGGCGUAAGGCCUCCUAUGGGGACGGGGCUGGGAUUAAAAUACAGGACAUAAUACACAUCACGACAAGAGAGACACCAGAACACUACAUAGAGACACCACAACACUACAUAGAGACACCAGAACACUACAUAGAGACACCACAACACUACAUAGAGACACCAGAACACUACAGAGAGACACCACAACACUACAUAGAGACACCAGAACACUACAUAGAGACACCACAACACUACAUAGAGACACCACAACACUACAUAGAGACACCACAACACUACAUAGAGACACCACAACACUACAUAGAGACACCAGAACACUACAUAGAGACACCACAACACUACGUAGAGACACCACAACACUACAUAGAGACACCACAACACUACAUAGAGACACCACAACACUACAUAGAGAAACCACAACACUACAUAGAGAAACCACAACACUACAUAGACACCACAACACUACAGAGAGACACCACAACACUACAUAGAGACACCACAACACUACGUAUAGACACCACAACACUACAUAGAGACACCACAACACUACGUAGAGACACCACAACACUACAUAGAGACACCACAACACUACAUAGAGACACCACAACACUACAUAGAGACACCACAACACUACGUAGAGACACCACAACACUACAUAGAAACACCACAACACUACAUAGACACCACAACACUACAUAGAGACACCAGAACACUACGUAGAGACACCACAACACUACAUAGAGACACCACAACACUACAUAGAGACAACACAACACUACGUAGAGACACCACAACACUACAUAGAGACACCACAACACUACAUAGAGACACCACAACACUGCAUAGAGACACCACAACACUACGUAGAGACACCACAACACUACAUAGAGACACCACAACACUACAUAGAGACACCACAACACUACAUAGAGACACCACAACACUACAUAGAGACAACACAACACUACAUAUAGACACCACAACACUACAUAUAGACACCACAACACUACAUAUAGACACCACAACACUACAGAGAGACACCACAACACUACGUAGAGACACCACAACACUACAUAGAGACACCACAACACUACAUAGAGACACCACAACACUACAUAGAGAAACCAAAACACUACAGAGAGACACCACAACACUACGUAGAGACACCACAACACUACAUAGAAACACCACAACACUACAUAGACACCACAACACUACAUAGAGAGAGACACAACAACACUACGUAGAGAGAGACACAACAACACUACAUAGAGACAACACUACAUAGAGACACUACAACACUACAUAAAGAGAUCACAACACUACAUAAAGAGAGACACCACAACACUACAUAAAGAGAGACACCACAACACUAUAUAAAGAGAGACAACACAACACUACAUAAAGAGAGACAUCACAACACUACAUAAAGAGAGACCACAAAACUACAUAAAGAGAGACACAAACACUACAUAAAGAGAGACACCACAACACUACAUAAAGAGAGA